AACGAACGCUGGCGGCAUGCCUAACACAUGCAAGUCGAACGAGACCUUCGGGUCUAGUGGCGCACGGGUGCGUAACGCGUGGGAACCUGCCCUUAGGUUCGGAAUAACUCCCCGAAAGGGGUGCUAAUACCGGAUAAUGUCUUCGGACCAAAGAUUUAUCGCCUUUGGAUGGGCCCGCGUUGGAUUAGCUAGUUGGUAGGGUAAAAGCCUACCAAGGCGACGAUCCAUAGCUGGUCUGAGAGGAUGAUCAGCCACACUGGGGCUGAGACACGGCCCAGACUCCUACGGGAGGCAGCAGUGGGGAAUAUUGGACAAUGGGCGAAAGCCUGAUCCAGCAAUGCCGCGUGAGUGAUGAAGGCCUUAGGGUUGUAAGGCUCUUUUACCCGGGAUGAUAAUGACAGUACCGGGAGAAUAAGCUCCGGCUAACUCCGUG
rnacentral:rRNA from 1 species